rnacentral:tRNA from 1 species
AAAGGGAGACCUAAUUCGGGUAUAAGACGAAAAAAUAGUAGUCGAAACCAAGAAUCAAUCCCAAAAGGUCGGAACGAGGUAUGUGGCUUUCAAACUAGGUUCUGGGUUCAUAAAAGACCUGAAUCAGGAACAAGGGCUAUUAGCUCAGGUGGUUAGAGCGCACCCCUGAUAAGGGUGAGGUCCCUGGUUCGAGUCCAGGAUGGCCCACCCGCACAGGUGGCAAAAACAAAGAAAAGAAGCGAGGAAUCAGCACCUUAUCUUACUUAUAUAGUAAGAGAGAAUGCUGGCUCUGAGUACAGAGUCCAGAGGAACCUUGAAAACUGCAUGGAGCUAGGUGAAAAAGCCAAAAAAGAAGGCCGCAAG